UUGAAUUUACAAUUGGGUUGCUGCUGGCCUUUAGGGGCAUGUGCACACCCUUUUUAAACUCUCCAUCCCUGUGCACAUCCUGUAGGCCGGACUUAAAACUCCAGCCUAUGUCUUUCACACACUAUAAAAGUAUCAGAAUGUUGAAUUGCUUUGGCCUUUAAAAAGUCAAAUUAAAUCUAUA
rnacentral:misc_RNA from 1 species